rnacentral:rRNA from 1 species
GCAACCUACCUAUCAGUGGGGAAUAGCCCGGGGAAACCCGGAUUAAUACCGCAGUAAGAUCAAAGAGUGGCAUCACUUUUUGCUGAAACAUUUAUGGCUGACAGAUGGGCAUGCGUUAGAUUAGCUAGUUGGUAGUGUAAGGGACUACCAAGGCAAUGAUCUAUAGGGGUUCUGAGAGGAAGAUCCCCCACACUGGUACUGAGAUACGGACCAGACUCCUACGGGAGGCAGCAGUAGGGAAUAUUGGGCAAUGCCCGCAAGGGUGACCCAGCCAUGCCGCGUGCAGGAAGAAGGCCUUCUGGGUUGUAAACUGCUUUUGGAAGGGAACAAAACGGUCUGCGGAGCAACUUGAGUGUACCUUCAGAAUAAAGCACCGGGCUAACUCCGUGCCCAGCCGCCGCGG